UACGAAGGGGGCUAGCGUUGUUCGGAAUUACUGGGCGUAAAGCGCGUGUAGGCGGGUCUUUAAGUCCGGGGUGAAAUGCCAAGGCUCAACCUUGGAACUGCCUUUGAUACUGGAGAUCUUGAGUCCGGGAGAGGUGAGUGGAACUGCGAGUGUAGAGGUGAAAUUCGUAGAUAUUCGCAAGAACACCAGUGGCGAAGGCGGCUCACUGGCCCGGUACUGACGCUGAGGCACGAAAGCGUGGGGAGCAAACAGG
rnacentral:rRNA from 1 species